rnacentral:rRNA from 1 species
GACGAACCGUGCGAACGUUGUUCGGAAUCACUGGGCUUAAAGGGCGCGUAGGCGGGUGUGCAAGUCUGUGGUGAAAGCCUCCAGCUUAACUGGAGAAGUGCCGUGGAUACUGCGCAUCUUGAGGAGGGUAGGGGCAUCUGGAACGGUCGGUGGAGCGGUGAAAUGCGUUGAUAUCGACCGGAACUCCGGUGGCGAAGGCGAGGUGCUGGACCCUUUCUGACGCUGAGGCGCGAAAGCCAGGGGAGCAAACGGGG